ACAGCCUCUCUGAAACACAGCUGUUUGCUUUCAGAUCGACUACCACUACAUCUCCUCGCAGGGCUUUCCGAUUGAAGGCUGGGCUGUUGUAUACUACAUAACUCACCUGUAAGUAUGCAGGUCCACAAGACAGUGGUGCUAAUGCCUGCACCGUGAAGUGGCUUACAAAGACACUAAUGGCUAGAGAUGGGGGUAUGGAUCAGUUGAGAGGGUUUGCCAGGCUUUCCUGAGACCCUGGGCUCCAUCCCCAGCACUGCAUAAGUCAGGAAUGGUGGUGCACACGCAUGAUCCUAGCACUCAGGACUGGGAGGGAGAAGCAAGAGGACUAAAAGUUCAGGAUCAUCUUUGGCUGCAUUUUGAGUAAAAGUUUGAGCUAGCUUGGGUUACUCAAAAUACAUACAUACAUACAUACAUACACACACAUACACACACACACACACACACACAUACAUACUUGGGGGCAGGGAGCUGGAGAGAUGGUACAGUUGCUGAGAGCACUGGCUGCAAUUCCAGAGGUCCUGAGUUCAUUUCCCAGCACCUACAUGGUGGCUCAAAAUCAUCUAUAAUGUGAUCCUAUGCCCUCUUCUGAUGUGCAGGCAUACAUGCAGACAGAGCAAAAGAAGAGGAAAUGGGGGCUGUAGAGUCAUUGAAUGAGCUGACAGGGUGACCGAUAGGAAUGGAGUCUCCCAAGCCUGCUGGUACCUGGGAACUGUUCUGUCUUCCAGGCUAAAGGGCGCACUCCUGUUCAUCACCAUCGCCCUCAUCGGCACUGGCUGGGCCUUCAUCAAGCACAUCCUGUCUGAUAAAGACAAGAAGAUCUUCAUGAUUGUCAUCCCGCUCCAGGUACAGGAACUGUGCCUACCUUGUCAGUCCUCCCUGGCUCUGGGCAGGGCUCAGCUCCAGGCCUCUCUGCAGGAAGUCAGCUCACUUGGGAACCUGAACUGAUAUCAUUGUGGGCUGCCGAUGGGGGCUCCUUUUCUGACUGCUGACAGACCUAGGCUUCAGGUGUGUGCUGGCAGCCCUGGUGGCCUCUUGUCUUCAGACAGACUGGGAUGCCCAGAUUGUGGUUAGAAAGCUGCAGAGAACUGAAGGAAGAAUGCCCCUGCUUUCUGCAUCAGAUGCCUCUAACAUCAGUGAGGUUAAUGAGUAGGCCCAAGUGGGUGCCCUAUAGUAUUUUGGAACUGAGUGUCACCAGUGAGUUUUUUCCUGCAAGGUACAGUACAAGAGUGGCCCCAUAGGGCUAACAUUAAUUACAUCACCUGUGUUUGGAGGCCAUGCUCUGAGGCCUGACUGACUAGCUCAUAGGUCUUCAGAGAAGACCCAUGGCUUAUCUUACACCAACAGUCUGCAAGGUAGCAGAGCCUGGAGCUGAGGGAGGGCACCACAGCUAUAGGUACAGCUUCCCAGCUGUCUGGCCACAGCUAUGCCUUUCUUUGAUGAGGUCAGCUCCUGUUCAGACUGCAACAUGGGUGUGGCUGGCAGGAGAGGAAGGGAGAGUGGAACUUCUAGGUCACGUCAUCUCCGGGGUUUGAUUGGCUGCUUGGCAGCAUUCAGCAAGCAGGUGGACUCGCACCAAACCAGUGACAUAGACCAGUUGGUGUAGGUUUUCGACGAGGAAUAAUCGCUCAGAAUGAUUUGGAAGAGCCAUAUAAUGGAGAUGGACUUGGUUGGAUGUUUAAGAAAAGGAGUGUAGCCGAGGAAUUGCCACAAAUACCUGUGACACUGCUGUCAGAGGAAACACAAAGGCUGCAGUCUUCUGGUGACCAAACCACCUCGGCCACUUCUAGGCAGAUGGAGUUCCAUAACCUGCAGUGGAGGCCUCCGAGCAUGGCCUCCAAACACAGGGCAUCCGUGACAGAACCUGAGCUCUCUUUCCAACUGUGGGAAUUGCUGGUAGUGUCCCUUCUGACAGAUUUGGGCUUUCGGUCUGUUGGCUCCUCCCCAGCCUGAGCUGGGGUAUGAUGGAGCCCUCUGUCCUGCUCAAUCCUUAGAAUGGUGAACACACAAGGCCACACCAAAUGUUCCCCUAAGGAAAUAUGGAUGUUUGAAACUAAAGAUAAUGGGACUGCUCUGGGAAGGGCUUGACCAAAGUCUAAGCAACUUCCUUUUGCAUUGGGGAGUGCAGGAAAGUUUCUAUUCCUCCUCUUCUUCCUCCUCCUCUCCCUCCUCCUUUCCUUUGUUUUUCUCAUGGUGCUUGGCAUGAAACCCAGGGCCUUGAACAGACAAGGCAGGCGCUCUGCUGAGCUCCCACCCAAAGCAGGAGAGAGUAACAUGGUAUUGAAGAGCACUAUAGGGAGUGGCUCAGCACUGCUUCUGGGACAGUCUAUCUUUCAUGCAGACUGCAAAUUGAGGUCCAGUUGGAAUUGGGCUUUUCAUUUCUAGACUAGGCUAGCAAGCCCAGCCAUCAUCCUGUUUCCAUCCCACACCGAGCUGAGCUAGGGUUAUAAUUGUGUUCAGGACACCUGGCUUCUUAGGUGGAUGCUGGGAUCUGACCUGAGCCUCAUGAUUGCUUGGCAAGCACACUUAACUGCUGUACUGUCUCUCCAGCCCUAACAUGCCUCAUCUUUAUUUCUGCAUCAUAGCUCAUGGUAUUCACUAAAAGGUUAAUACCGUAAAUCAUAAACCUGCUUGAUGCACAGUGGGGUCUCAUUUAAGUCACUUGAAAAAUUGUCUAUAGUCUGCUAAGAGCCCAAGGACAGGGCUGAAAACACAAGACAAAGCCUUACUGUGGAAUUAGAAACAAGGCAAGGAAGCAGAUGAGCCUCAGGAGGCCCUAGGCUAGCUAGCCCCUUCCUGGACCCCCGUGGUCUCUGAAGUCUGCACUUCUUGCCACUCUGACCUCUAAUCUCGAUAUCAGCUACUUAGAAUUAUUGUCCCUGAGGACAAAGAAUUCUCAGGAAAAACGGAGCCUGAGGAGUGUUGACAUCCUAGCUGUGAGGGUUGUAAAGUGCCACCUGUCAGUAGCUUGGGUGCCCCAGAGUAAAGUGUUUCCAUUACCCACUGCUACGUGCCACCCCAAACUUGAUGAUAGCAGGAAACACUAGCAGGAAAUCUCAGUUUCUGUGGGCUAGGGGUCUUGAUUGCGUAGGUUUGACCUGAUUGCAGUUUGUUGGUUACUAGAGUCUGGGUUUAUUAUAGUUUUUUUUUUUUUUAAAGAAAAAAAGAAAGCCAGAUAAAUUCUUCUUUUAAAAAAAAAGAUUUAUAGCCAGGCAGUGGUGGCGCGCGCCUUUAAUCCCAGCACUUGGGAGGCAGAGGCAGAUGCAUUUCUGAGUUCGAGGCCAGCCUGGUCUACAAAGUGAGUUCCAGGACAGCCAGGACUGCACAGAGAAACUGGAAAAACC
rnacentral:lncRNA from 1 species